rnacentral:rRNA from 1 species
UACGAAGGGUGCGAGCGUUAAUCGGAAUUACUGGGCGUAAAGGGUGCGUAGGCGGUUCGUUAAGUCUGUCGUGAAAUCCCCGGGCUCAACCUGGGAAUGGCGAUGGAUACUGGCGAGCUAGAGUGUGUCAGAGGAUGGUGGAAUUCCCGGUGUAGCGGUGAAAUGCGUAGAGAUCGGGAGGAACAUCAGUGGCGAAGGCGGCCAUCUGGGACAACACUGACGCUGAAGCACGAAAGCGUGGGGAGCAAACAGG